AACGAACGCUGGCGGCAUGCCUAACACAUGCAAGUCGAACGAGAUCUUCGGGUCUAGUGGCGCACGGGUGCGUAACGCGUGGGAAUCUGCCCUUUGGUUCGGAAUAACAGUUAGAAACGACUGCUAGUACCGGAUGAUGACGAAAGUCCAAAGAUUUAUCGCCAGAGGAUGAGCCCGCGUAGGAUUAGCUAGUUGGUGUGGUAAAGGCGCACCAAGGCGACGAUCCUUAGUUGGUCUGAGAGGAUGAUCAGCCACACUGGGACUGAGACACGGCCCAGACUCCUACGGGAGGCAGCAGUGGGGAAUAUUGGACAAUGGGCGAAAGCCUGAUCCAGCAAUGCCGCGUGAGUGAUGAAGGCCUUAGGGUUGUAAAGCUCUUUUACCCGGGAUGAUAAUGACAGUACCGGGAGAAUAAGCUCCGGCUAACUCCGUGCCAGCCGCCGCCGUAAGAC
rnacentral:rRNA from 1 species